rnacentral:rRNA from 1 species
AGAGUUUGAUCCUGGCUCAGGACGAACGCUGGCGGCGUGCUUAACACAUGCAAGUCGAACGGAAAGGCCCCUUCGGGGGUACUCGAGUGGCGAACGGGUGAGUAACACGUGGGUGAUCUGCCCUGCACUUUGGGAUAAGCCUGGGAAACUGGGUCUAAUACCGAAUAGGACCGCAUGCUUCAUGGUGUGUGGUGGAAAGCUUUUGCGGUGUGGGAUGGGCCCGCGGCCUAUCAGCUUGUUGGUGGGGUAAUGGCCUACCAAGGCGACGACGGGUAGCCGGCCUGAGAGGGUGUCCGGCCACACUGGGACUGAGAUACGGCCCAGACUCCUACGGGAGGCAGCAGUGGGGAAUAUUGCACAAUGGGCGCAAGCCUGAUGCAGCGACGCCGCGUGGGGGAUGACGGCCUUCGGGUUGUAAACCUCUUUCAGUAUCGGCGAAGCUCCAGGAUUUUUCUUGGGGUGACGGUAGGUACAGAAGAAGCACCGGCCAACUACGUGCCAGCAGCCGCGGUAAUAC